AAAAAAAGCUACAUAAGAUUUGCAAAAAAUCUUGGACUUCUCCCAGGUCAAGGGUGGCUCAGGCUGGAAGCCUGUGUUCCAGGGAAUGGUUCUCUUCUUGUUUGCCCCUUGACUUUGAGUUCCCUGACAGGACUUGGUGUCAGGUAGGAGGAUUGGCGAGACAGGGGUGAUCUCUCUCUGUUGCUUUCUCUCAUCUUGACCAAUGUCAAAGCUCAUAUUUUCUCUCCUGGGGGUAUUUUCAAAGGGUUCCUCCUGUACCCAUGGAGGGGGACACAGGUUUCUGCAUACCUGGGAGUGUUCUCCCAAACCGUGGGCCGGCACCACUCUUUCUACCUCACUCAGCAGAGGAUUCUACAUCUGUCAGGUGGCUCAUGUGGAAAGGACCAGGUCUGCUUUCUGUCCUGCAUGCCUCAGACCAUGUCCAGGGAGGAAUUCUCAAGAGUAUAUCCCAUGGAAGUUCCAGCCACUGUGGGUCGGCCCUCAAAGAAGAUGGCCAGCUUGUCUACCAGCCCACAGUAGUCGGUUCUAGAACCACAAGAGGUUUCUCAUGAAGAGACUAAAGGAACUACUGUUCUCUAACUCUGAAAAAGUCCUUUUUGUGUCUUUUAAUUUCAGCAUGUAGUUCAGGAGAUGUCUGAGCGAUUUCCAGAAUCAUUCUCUUCCUAAUUCUGCUUAGGAACUGGACAAUAUGGAGGACCACUUUCUCACUUAUUUAUCUGAGGACUACCGGUUCUCUUCAACUGUCUCUCCUUUUCUUUGUUCUCAAGUAAGGAGAAACCCCCAGCCCUUUGUCAGUCUUUCUACCAUUCCUGGAAUUCCCACUCAUUGUAACAGGCGUUCCUCCAUCUUCAUCUUCUAGCCUCACUGUUCUGGCUUCCAUUCACACAUCUCCAAGGAACCUCAUGCACUUCCACUAGAUAAGCAGCAUACCCAGAAUUCCACAGAACUCAGAGUGAAUUGUUCCUUUCCAGAACAUUCCUUCCUGGGCUCCCUUCAUCCAUCAAUGACACUCUUCCUCUCUUGACCACUGAGGCCUGAAAUUCUGGGAUCCGUACUCCUCCUGCACCUUUGCUUUUUGAUGAAGAAGUACACAUUAAUAAUUUCUCAUUGUCUGAAAGAAGGACCGUCUUUCCAUCUUCGUAUUUUCUACAGUGUGAACACAGUGUUCCACAAACAUUAUACUGCUUUGAUGUUGACUGUCUGGAACAUGAUACAGCAGUCAGAAGUUAUCUUACCAACUCAGUGUCCUCGGUGGAUCAUGAGGAUUCGUGUUUCUCCAUAUCAAAACUAAUUCUGCCUCUUCUGGAAGUCCUGAUUCCAAUUCUUUAAAGGACUUCACAUGUGUGUGGACAUACCUGUUGGCCAUUGUGCUUUCAAAUGAGAUCACCUUGAUUUUAAAAGUUGGCAUAGAUGCUAAAAGUGUAGCAUUGUUUGCUUUGCUUUGUGUAUUCAACACUUGAGGGCUAAUUAGCAAUUUGCAGAUUUUAACAACAUUAUCAUGACUGCUAAGGAAGUAUAGUAACUUUACUCUGAAUGAUCAUUUGCUCCAUGGAUUUGCAUAUUCAUUAUGAUCAUUAUUAAACUUUUUUGAGAUUAAAGAGAGAUGAAUUCUGGGAAUAAAUCUCUCCUUAGCUUGGCAGGUAUUUUGGGUAAGUGCCUGCAUUUCUGUGCUUCACUUCUCUUCUAAGACAAAGGAAAAUGAUAAUAUUCACCUAUCACAAAUCUGUUUUUAAAAGAAAGGAAUAAAACCAAAUAGCUGUAAUGUUUAAAAAAUUGAAGGUAAAGUUUUUCAAUUGGUAUGUAGGGAAAAUGAAAGCAUAUAGUUUUAAUUGAUUGUAAGCUAAAUUAGUGUUUCCCUUCCUAUAUUUUUAAAUGAGAUGAAAUGGAUCUGUCUCACACAUGGGUUUGUCCCUAAAUAUUGAGCAAUAAUUCAAAUUUUAGACAUCAAAGGGCAUUUUAAAUACAUAUCUCAAUUCUCAUAUUUGGUUUUGAGGAUGAUAUUUCCCACGAUGUGAACACAGUCUCCCACAAACAUUAUACUACUUCCAUGUUGACUUUCUGGAAUGGAAUAGAGAAGCCCUUCAUAUAUGCUUACCAAAUGAGACAAUGCCAUCAAAUACUCAUUUAGUCUGGUGGAUAGUAUGUGUACCGUCAAUGCUAUUAUUAUCACAUUAUAAAAUCAUUUUUCAUAAAGAACCUAUAGGAAUCAAAAAGCUAGAUGAAAUUAGACCAACAUAUUAAUGGUAGUAGGAGUUAGAGGUGAUGUAUACUUUUUUCCUAAGAUGCCAUUGCUUAUCUAAUUAACUUAUUCCUUCAUUUCCUGUAUGCUAGGCACCGUGCUAAGCACUCACCAUACAAACAUGGAUGGGAACACAUGCUCCCUUACAGUUGAAACUGUGUCUCCAUUUUGUAAAGACUCACUAUGAACAUUUUAAAGAAAUUUACAGGAAUUGUUCUCUUUUUUAGUUGUUGAUAGACAUUUAUUUUAUUUAUUUGCAUGUGGUGCAGAGAAUCGAACCCAGUGCCUCCCUCAUGCCAGGCAAGUAUGCUACCCCUGAGCCCCAGCCCAGCCCCCAGGAAUUGUUUUUAAUGCUUUCUAAUGUCUUAUAGAUAUUUUCAGAUUUGUGUGGUGCUGUGAACUUGCCAUGACACAUCCAUGCUAGUCUUCGGGACCUUUCACAGAGGCAGUUCAAGUUGGUCACGUCUGUGAUAGUUUUGGUCCAGUAAACUCACCCAAGCUCAGCAGGGCAAUAGUUGGCCUUCGGGAUGCUUUAAGAAGGGGCACACAGGCAAGGCUACUUGUCUCCUGGUGGAGACUUCUGAAGAGAAGAUGGGGAUAAAUACCUCGACUGCCAUCCUUGAAAUGAUGAGUAACUGCUUUCUUUCUUUUUUCCUCUUCUUUUGACAUUGAUUAGAGAGAAUUGGUAGUUUCCACAUUUUAUGUAAUAAGAGCAAAUUGGUGGUUUUUCUAGUAAAUUACUGAAGGGCUGUUAUUGUGAAGGGAUUUCAGGCCACGGUGCAGACACAUGAAAUCUUUACAUCUUUGUGCCCGUCUGUCUGUGUGUUCACAGAAAUAUGUUUAUUCCUUUGAGUGGGAUCCUAGAACAUUCCGGAUGACGGGCCAGUAUCAGGUCUGGAAAGGCCUUCUUCACUCUGCUGAGCCAGGCACACUUCAGUGUCACUCUCAAGUCCUGUAUUUAUUUGUGGAGGUGACUGCUUCACCAAAGCAGUCAUGAUCCCAUGACCAAUGAGCCGGAUCCAAUGUCCCCUCAUUUUCACCUAAUGAACCUGUUCAGCUUAUCGUAGAUCAUACCACCACUAAAGGACUUGGGCUGAUUCAUAGAGACUUACCUGGGGCUUCUACUCUCAGUUCUUUCAUCUAUUUUCCCACAAAAGUCCUUAAAACUCUUCAAAUUGAUUAAUAUAAAAAUAAUGUAAUUUUAAGAGAGAAAUUUUUUCCCACCUAAAAUACUCUGCCUCUCCCUACCCCACAACUGUGCAUGUGAAUUGGUUCAAGAAUAGGACCUGGGGAAAACAGAAAGCACACAGGAUCUGAGUGACAGCCAGGACAUGCCUGUCCCCAUGCAUCAGGGUGAGUUUUCACCUCACACCAUCCUGCAGGUUGCACACUCAACUAAGGAAUGACUCAGACCAAAUACUGAAUGCAAAAAAAAAAAAAAAGUCAGAAUUCA